GUUUUUACGAAAGAGCACACAACGUCUUCAGCGGGGGAGCACAUUUUGCCUUCCGGUGCCUAACCCGAUUAUCGUUAUGAAGAUGAUGUCGUCUUUCGGCGACGUUUGACAAACAAGACUUCUUCGGAUCGGGGGAAGGAGGUGAAUUCCUUCUUUUUUUGAGAUUCCUGCCACUGAUUCCAUUGAAUAUUUGCUCGGGGC
ensembl:ncRNA F09G2.10 ncRNA